GAUAAACGCUGGCGGCGUGCCUAACACAUGCAAGUCGAACGCCCUUUUGCGCAAGUGAGAGGGAGUGGCGGACGGGUGAGUACCACGUGGGUACCUACCUUGAGGUGAGGAAUACCACCGAGAAAUCGGUGACAAGACCGCAUACGCUUGGCAACAAGCAAAGUCUCGCAAGAGACGCCACAAGAUGGGCCUGCGCCUGAUUAGCUAGUUGGUGAGGUAAUGGCNCACCAAGGCGACGAUCAGUAGCUGGUCUGAGAGGAUGAUCAGCCACACUGGGAUUGAGAACGGCCCAGACUCCGACGGGGGCAGCAGUGAGG
rnacentral:rRNA from 1 species